rnacentral:rRNA from 1 species
UAAUGAAACUUCAAAAGUCGGCUCGUCGUUCUGUGCUGGUGGGAGAGAUCCCCAUAUGUGCACGUCGACGGGUCGCAAAUCCACACACCUGUGCAUCUAUGACUCUGAGUAUCGCCGGCCUCGCCUUGGUGCUCGAGUAACUUUUACACACUCUGCAUGUAAUGGAAUGUCUAUUGUGCAUAAUGUACAACUAAAACAACUUUCAACAACGGAUCUCUUGGCUCUCGCAUCGAUGAAGAACGCAGCGAAAUGCGAUAAGUAAUGUGAAUUGCAGAAUUCAGUGAAUCAUCGAAUCUUUGAACGCACCUUGCACCCUUUGGUAUCCCGAAGGGUACACCCGUUUGAGUGUCAUUGUAAUCUCACCUCUUCGACUUUUUGUUGAGUCGACCAGUGUGGACUUGGAUGUUGCCGUGUGACAAACGGCUCGUCUGAAAUGCCUGAGUGUACCCUGCCUUGCGGCGUAUUUGGUGUGAUAAAAUCUUCACCGGAGUCUUGACCCUUGUGGUCAGCGCUUGCAUGGUUUGGCUCUAUGCUUUCCAACUGUCCCUAACAAGGACAAACUACUCUGACAAUUUGACCUCAAAUCGGGUGGGACUACCCGCUGAACUUAA